rnacentral:rRNA from 1 species
UACGGGGGGAGCAAGCGUUGUUCGGAUUUACUGGGCGUAAAGGGCGCGUAGGCGGCCACGACAAGUCACUUGUGAAAUCUCCGGGCUUAACUCGGAACGGUCAAGUGAAACUGUCAUGCUAGAGUGCAGAAGGGGCAAUCGGAAUUCUUGGUGUAGCGGUGAAAUGCGUAGAUAUCAAGAGGAACACCUGAGGUGAAGACGGGUUGCUGGGCUGACACUGACGCUGAGGCGCGAAAGCCAGGGGAGCAAACGGG